rnacentral:rRNA from 1 species
AUUGAACGCUGGCGGAAUGCUUUACACAUGCAAGUCGAACGGUAGAGGGGGCAACCCCUCGAGAGUGGCGAACGGGUGAGUAAUAUAUCGGAACGUGCCCAGUCGUGGGGGAUAACGUAGCGAAAGUUACGCUAAUACCGCAUACGAUCUAAGGAUGAAAGCGGGGGAUCGCAAGACCUUGCGCUACUGGAGCGGCCCAAGUAGGAUUAGGUAGUGGGGGGGGUAAAGGCUCACCAAGCCAACGAUCUGUCGCUGGUCUGAGAGGACGACCAGGCACACUGGAACGGAGACACGGUCCGGACUCCUACGGGAGGCAGCAGUGGGGAAUUUUGGACAAUGGACGCAAGUCUGAUCCAGCCAUUCCGCGUGCAGGAUGAAGGCCCUCGGGUUGUAAACUGCUUUUGUACGGAACGAAAAGGUCUCUCUUAAUACGGGGGACUCAUGACGGUACCGUAAGAAUAAGCACCGGCUAACUACGUGCCAGCAGCCGCCGUAAUAC